CAUUACCUGAGCCCACCCGUGCUCACCUGAGCCCACCUGUGCCCAUUACCUGUGCCCACCCAUGCCCACCUGAGCCCACCCGUGCCCAUUACCUGAGCCCACCCGUGCCCACCUGAGCCCACCUGUGCCCAUUACCUGAGCUCACCCGUGCCCACCUGUGCCCAUUCCCUGAGCUCACCUGUGCCCACCUGAGCUCACCCGUGCCCACCCGUGCCCACCCGUGCCCACCUGAGCCCACCUGAGCCCACCCGUGCCCACCUGUGCCCGCAGACAUCGACGAGUGCCGCCAGGUGCCCCCGCCCUGCUCUCCGGGGCGCUGCGAGAAUUCCGUGGGGAGCUUCCGGUGCCUCUGCGGGGCCGGCUUCACCUCCGAGCCCGCGGGCACCGAGUGCCGAGACAUUGACGAGUGCCGCCAGGUGCCCCCGCCCUGCUCUCCGGGGCGCUGCGAGAAUUCCGUGGGGAGCUUCCGGUGCCUCUGCGGCGCCGGCUUCACCUCCGAGCCCGCGGGCACCGAGUGCCGAGGUCAGCGGCGCACCUGGGCACACCUGGGCACACCUGGAUACACCUGGGUACCCCCAAACCACACCUGGGUACCCCCAAACCACACCUGGGCGCACCUGGGUACCCCCAAACCACACCUGGGCACACCUG
rnacentral:lncRNA from 1 species